rnacentral:rRNA from 1 species
UGCGGCCUAUCAGCUUGUUGGUGAGGUAAAGGCUCACCAAGGCGACGACGGGUAGCCGGCCUGAGAGGGUGACCGGCCACACUGGGACUGAGACACGGCCCAGACUCCUACGGGAGGCAGCAGUGGGGAAUAUUGCACAAUGGACGAAAGUCUGAUGCAGCAACGCCGCGUGAGGGACGAAGGCCUUCGGGUUGUAAACCUCUUUUAGCAGGGAAGAAGCGAAAGUGACGGUACCAGCAGAAAAAGCACCGGCUAACUACGUGCCACCAUUUAGUUGAAUACGUAGGGUGCAAGCGUUGUCCG